GAAGGAAGCUGGGAACGAGCGAGCGAGCGGGGGCGCGAGGCGUUUACCUGGAGGCAGCGGCUUGGGCGCGCUGAGCGGCCGCGGCUCCCCCGCACCUGCGGCCAUGGAUGAGGAGCGCGCCCUCUACAUCGUCCGGGCCGGCGAGGCGGGGGCUAUCGAGCGGGUCCUGAGGGAUUACAGCGAUAAGCAUAGGGCUACUUUCAAAUUUGAAUCAACAGAUGAAGAUAAAAGAAAGAAACUCUGUGAAGGUAUAUUUAAAGUCCUUGUAAAGGACAUCCCAACAACAUGUCAAGUGUCUUGCCUGGAAGUUCUCCGCAUUCUCUCCAGAGACAAAAAGGUUUUAGUUCCUGUAACAACCAAGGAAAAUAUGCAGAUACUGCUGCGACUAGCCAAGCUAAAUGAGUCGGAUGAUUCUUUGGAGAAGGUGUCCGAGUUCCCAGUUAUUGUGGAGUCAUUAAAAUGUCUGUGUAACAUAGUGUUCAACAGUCAGAUGGCACAGCAGCUCAGCCUGGAACUUAACCUUGCUGCAAAGCUCUGUAACCUCCUGAGAAAGUGCAAGGACCGAAAGUUUAUCAGUGACAUUAAAUGCUUUGACUUGCGCUUGCUCUUCCUCCUGUCACUUUUGCACACCGACAUCAGGUCACAAUUGCGCUAUGAGCUUCAGGGACUAGCGCUGCUAACCCAGAUCUUGGAAAGUGCCUUUAGCAUCAAGUGGACCGAUGAGUAUGAAUCGGCCAUAGACCGUAAUGGACCUCCUCUCUCACCUCAGGAGACAGACUGUGCCAUCGAGGCCCUCAAAGCUCUCUUCAAUGUGACAGUAGACAGUUGGAAGGCACAUAAAGAGAGUGAUUCUCAUCAGUUCCGUGUCAUGGCAGCUGUCCUUCGCCAUUGUUUACUAAUCGUAGGUCCAACUGAAGACAAAACAGAAGAGCUGCACAGCAAUGCAGUCAACCUUUUAAGCAAUGUUCCGGUCUCUUGUUUGGAUGUUCUCAUUUGUCCAUUAACCCAUGAAGAAACAGCCCAAGAGGCAACGACUCUAGAUGAACUGCCCAAUGAUAAAACAGCUGAGAAAGAAACUGUUUUGAAAAACAAUACCAUGGCAUACAAUGGUAUGAAUAUGGAAGCCAUUCAUGUUUUACUCAAUUUUAUGGAGAAGAGAAUAGACAAGGGAAGCAGCUAUAGAGAAGGUCUAACUCCGGUUCUCAGCUUAUUAACAGAAUGUUCCCGAGCCCAUCGAAACAUCAGAAAAUUUCUCAAAGAUCAGGUUUUACCACCAUUGAGGGAUGUGACAAAUCGUCCUGAAGUUGGCUCAACUGUGAGAAAUAAGCUGGUGCGCCUCAUGACACAUGUUGACCUUGGAGUCAAGCAGAUUGCUGCUGAAUUCCUUUUUGUCCUUUGCAAAGAGAGAGUGGAUAGCCUGCUGAAAUACACUGGCUAUGGGAAUGCUGCAGGACUGUUGGCGGCCAGGGGCCUCUUGGCUGGAGGAAGAGGAGAUAAUUGGUACUCAGAGGACGAGGACACAGACACUGAAGAAUACAAAAAUGCAAAACCAAACAUUAAUCUUAUCACUGGUCAUUUAGAGGAACCAAUGCCAAACCCCAUAGAUGAAAUGACAGAAGAACAAAAAGAAUAUGAAGCCAUGAAACUUGUCAACAUGCUUGAUAAACUCUCCAGACCCUGUCAUUAAUUCCAUGUGUCAAUACUGCCCUGUAGUACACAGAGCAGACAAGAAAGAAGAGCCCUUGAAAACAAGGGAAUGAUUUUUGAGUCGUUAUCAAGCUAAGUGGCAAGCGGGAAGCUGAAACUCGUAUAGUUGAACAUUCUUGGAGGCUUAUCUCUUCCCUGGCCAGAUGCCUGAUCAGAUGAGAAGCCCGCCAUGAUACUGUCACAGUGCCUAGAAUGGGCUCUUUAUCCAGUAGACAUCACUGUACUUUUUGAUGAUAACGAGGGCAGUCUUAACUUAUGUUAAGGCCUGUGUAUAGCAUUGAAGAGAGGAGUUGCUUAAACCAAUGGGACUAAAACCUGAUGGGACAAUAACGCCUUUGGAGGAAGCACUCAACCAGUACUCUGUCAUCGAAGAGACCAGCUCUGACACAGACUAAAAGCGUCACCUGCCCAACUCUCAAUAUUGCUUUUAUCAGCAUCUUUUCUCUGUAGCUCCAGGGGAGUCUUUUCUCUAAAACAUUUAUGCCCUUGCUUUGGCUAGAAACACAUUAACUGGUUUACUCAUUGAGAAUCCAGCAUAUUUAAGAGGUGAUCCUGUGUUUUUGCGAUACCGAGGCAUUCGUACAGAGCUGCAGUUAGAUGGAGUUGCAGGGGCUAAAGACACAGAGAAAGAGUAAUUCCAUUUCAUCAGGAUGGAACUGAAAGGACUUCGUUCUGCAAAGCAGCCCUGGUUGAAUCUGGCCGUUCUGUUUGCCAAGGUUCUUAGAAGAUAGAGUCGCGUCCUUCCUCUCACCGGUGAAAGCUGCCCUCCUGAAUCUCUCCAGCAGACAGCGGCACGUGAGAAGCAGAACGAGCUGCUAAUAAACAAGGGCUGAGGCAAGCGACUUCUUAGAUCAGGACUGACCACGUGGAAGCCGAGCAGCUGCUCCAUAAACCUAGCCCCACUCUUCAUUUCAAUUUUGUAUAAAGAUGUGGAAGUGCACACACAAACACGCACACACACAGCCCCAGACUUGCAAACUGAUUACAUUCUGAAAGUUUGUAUGUCACUUAUCUAGAACUUCAGAAUACAUUUCUCCCCAUAAAGGGUUAUAAAUGAUGGUUUAAUUCUGAGGCAGCUACAAAUGCCUAUUUAUUCCCUUAUGUACCUUAACACUAGACCCACAGAACUGAACCCCCCCGCCCCUGCCCCGUCUGUAUCACUGCAUGGGAGCGUGCAUUCUGAGCUCUGACCCAGGGUGCCAGGAACACACAUCCUCCGAUCCAGCAGAGGGGAUGGGGACUCCCCGAGUCCUGGGGGUUCUUGUGUGGCCUCUGCCGGGGGUAGAGGGAGUCAGCGGCACCCAUCUGUACAUACAGGUCAUUCAUAUGUCACAGGUUUUAAAUUGGGGACUGUGUGUGUGCCUGUGUGUGUGUUCAGCCUUUCUACCCUAGGUGAUCAGUUUAAUGGUAACUUUAUUUAUUUAAAAAAAGAGAAAGAAACACAAGUAGUUACUGUUAAACUGAUUAAAGCUGUUUAUUUUUACUUCUAGAAUUGGUCAUAGGAGGAAGUAGAAAAUGGAUCCUGCAGUAGACAGCGGGCCUAGUCAGUCAGUGGCUAAAGCCUAAAGGGGUCGGUUUCCUUUUAUAUGUGUAUGUAUGUAGAUAACACACACAUACAUACAUAUAUACACAUAGAUGAUGUGCUUAACCACUGCCUUUUAAAACUUUAAAUUAAAUAAAACAUUGGGGUUGAUUCAA